GACGAACGCUGGCGGCGUGCUUAACACAUGCAAGUCGAACGGAAAGGCCCUGCUUUUGUGGGGUGCUCGAGUGGGGAAGGGGUGAGUAACACGUGAGUAACCUGCCCUUGAUUUUGGGAUAACUUCAGGAAACGGGGGCUAAUACCGGAUAGGAGCUCCUGCUGCAUGGUGGGGGUUGGAAAGUUUCGGCGGGUGGGGAUGGACGCGCGGCUUAUCAGCUUGUUGGUGGGGGAGUGGAUUACCAAGGCUUUGACGGGUAGCCGGCCUGAGAGGGUGACCGGCCACAUUGGUACUGAGAUACGGCCCAGACUCCUACGGGAGGCAGCAGUGGGGAAUAUUGCACAAUGGUCGGAAGCCUGAUGCAGCAACGCCGCGUGCGGGAUGACGGCCUUCUGGUUGUAAACCGCUUUCGCCUGUGACGAAGCGUGAGUGACGGUAAUGGGUAAAGAAGCACCGGCUAACUACGUG
rnacentral:rRNA from 1 species